UCCCAUACUUUCAUCUAUUUAUAGGUGAUGUAUUUUUUACUUCACACAUCUGAUAAAGUGGGUUCUAGCCCAUGAAAGCUUAAGCCUAAAUACAUUUGUUAGUCUCUAAGGUGCCACAAGGA